AGCGUAGGCGGCUUUUCAAGUCGGAUGUGAAAUUUCCCGGCUCAACCGGGAGGGGUCAUUCGAUACUGUAAGGCUUGAGUGCAACAGGGGGAAACGGAAUUCCCGGUGUAGUGGUGGAAUGCGUAGAUAUCGGGAGGAACACCAGAGGCGAAAGCGGUUUCCAAGGUUGUUACUGACGCUGAGGCUCGAAAGCGUGGGGAGCAAACAGGAUUAGAUACCCUGGUAGUCC
rnacentral:rRNA from 1 species